CCUACGUGUGACAGCAGUGAGGAAUAUUGGUCAAUGAGCGCGAGCCUGAACCAGCCAAGUAGCGUGAAGGAUGACUGCCCUACGGGUUGUAAACUUCUUUUAUAAAGGAAUAAAGUGAGGCACGUGUGCCUUUUUGUAUGUACUUUAUGAAUAAGGAUCGGCUAACUCCGUGCCAGCAGCCGCGGUAAUACGGAGGCUCCGAGCGUUAUCCGGAUUUAUUGGGUUUAAAGGGAGCGUAGAUGGGUUGUUAAGUCAGUUGUGAAAGUUUGCGGCUCAACCGUAAAAUUGCAAUUGAUACUGGCAGUCUUGAUUACAGUUGAGGUAGGCGGAAUUCGUGGUGUAGCGGUGAAAUGCUUAGAUAUCACGAAGAACUCCGAUUGCGAAGGCAGCUUACUAAACUGCCACUGACAUUGAUGCUCGAAAGUGUGGGUAUCAAACAGGAUUAGAUACCCUUGUAGUC
rnacentral:rRNA from 1 species